rnacentral:rRNA from 1 species
CGCUAGCGACAGGCUUAACACAUGCAAGUCGAGGGGCAGCACAGGUAGCAAUACCGGGUGGCGACCGGCGCACGGGUGAGUAACGCGUAUGCAACUUGCCUAUCAGAGGGGGAUAACCCGGCGAAAGUCGGACUAAUACCGCAUGAAGCAGGGGCCCCGCAUGGGGAUAUUUGCUAAAGAUUCAUCGCUGAUAGAUAGGCAUGCGUUCCAUUAGGCAGUUGGCGGGGUAACGGCCCACCAAACCGACGAUGGAUAGGGGUUCUGAGAGGAAGGUCCCCCACAUUGGUACUGAGACACGGACCAAACUCCUACGGGAGGCAGCAGUGAGGAAUAUUGGUCAAUGGGCGUAAGCCUGAACCAGCCAAGUCGCGUGAGGGAUGAAGGUUCUAUGGAUCGUAAACCUCUUUUAUAAGGGAAUAAAGUGCGGGACGUGUCCCGUUUUGUAUGUACCUUAUGAAUAAGGAUCGGCUAACUCCGUGCCAGCAGCCGCGGUAAUACGGAGGAUCCGAGCGUUAUCCGGAUUUAUUGGGUUUAAAGGGUGCGUAGGCGGCCUUUUAAGUCAGCGGUGAAAGUCUGUGGCUCAACCAUAGAAUUGCCGUUGAAACUGGGAGGCUUGAGUAUGUUUGAGGCAGGCGGAAUGCGUGGUGUAGCGGUGAAAUGCUUAGAUAUCACGCAGAACCCCGAUUGCGAAGGCAGCCUGCCAAGCCAUUACUGACGCUGAUGCACGAAAGCGUGGGGAUCAAACAGGAUUAGAUACCCUGGUAGUCCACGCAGUAAACGAUGAUCACUAGCUGUUUGCGAUACACUGUAAGCGGCACAGCGAAAGCGUUAAGUGGUCCACCUGGGGAGUACGCCGGCAACGGUGAAACUCAAAGGAAUUGACGGGGGCCCGCACAAGCGGAGGAACAUGUGGUUUAAUUCGAUGAUACGCGAGGAACCUUACCCGGGUUUGAACGCAUUUUGACAGCUCUGGAAACAGAGCCUCUAGCAAUAGCGAUUUGCGAGGUGCUGCAUGGUUGUCGUCAGCUCGUGCCGUGAGGUGUCGGCUUAAGUGCCAUAACGAGCGCAACCCUUGCCACUAGUUACUAACAGGUAAAGCUGAGGACUCUGGUGGGACUGCCAGCGUAAGCUGCGAGGAAGGCGGGGAUGACGUCAAAUCAGCACGGCCCUUACAUCCGGGGCGACACACGUGUUACAAUGGCGUGGACAAAGGGAGGCCACCUGGCGACAGGGAGCGAAUCCCCAAACCACGUCCCAGUUCGGAUCGGAGUCUGCAACCCGACUCCGUGAAGCUGGAUUCGCUAGUAAUCGCGCAUCAGCCAUGGCGCGGUGAAUACGUUCCCGGGCCUUGUACACACCGCCCGUCAAGCCAUGGGAGCCGGGGGUACCUGAAGUGCGUAACCGCGAGGAGCGCCCUAGGGUAAACC